GUUGCUUUGUCUAACGAACCCAACCAAGGGAACACUUCAGAGCGUAUCCUGGUGGAGGCAUCUACAAGGCAAUAACAAGAUGAGCUAUCCAGAAGUCAGAAGCGGAGACUUGAUCCAGAUAUGCCAUCUGAUGCGGACCGAGGCUCAGAUGAGGGACCUGGCACACACACAAAGACUAAAGUCAAGAGGUCAUCCAAAACUGACUUGUUUGCCAAUAUAGAACCACCUACUGCACCCUCAGCACCCCAGGUUCUACUGUGCAGAAGAAAACUCAAAGAAGGCCCUGGAGUGAUGUGGAAAAAAAGGCAGUUUGGCGGCAACUUGGAAAUUGCAUGAUUUUGAUGAAAGUUCCUCGUAAGGACAAGUGCAUAGAGUGCAUAGAUGCAGAACCAGCACUUCAGAGUAGACAUUGGAGAGAUAUCAAGAAUCAUGUACAUAAUACCAUUGAAAUUAGAAAAAAGAAGGUAUCACUCCAUUAACUUACAGGUUUUAAGUUUUCAAGUUCAGGUUAUAUACAGAUGUAUACAGAUGUGAGCAGUUCAUUAUUCAGUGGAGUUUGGCCAAAGUGACAUGUUCAUUACUCAGUUCAUUUCAGUAGUAGGUUUAGUAAGGAUUUCAGUAGGCCUCAACAAUCCUUAGGUUUGUGGAUUGACAAAAUAUAACAUCCAAAUUUGUUAUUUCUCUUUGUCAUAGUAACAAUAUUGGCUCAAGUAUGUCUCCUGACUUGUGUUGUUGAAGCUGAAAUUCAGCAGUACUAAAUGAGGCCUGAAAAGGAUUUUAAAAUCCUUGCAUUUGAUGUACAAUGUGUGGGUGCUCUGUUAGAGUUAAUAAUUUCUUACCCUGCUUGUUAGAAUGCUCUUUUGUAAAGCGCAAUAUUUGCUUUUGCAGAAUAAAUAAUCUGCUGAUUUAUUA